AGGUCUGUAGCUCAGUUGGUUAGAGCGCACCCCUGAUAAGGGUGAGGUCGGCAGUUCAAUCUGCCCAGACCUACCA
rnacentral:tRNA from 1 species